rnacentral:rRNA from 1 species
GACGAACGCUGGCGGCGUGCUUAACACAUGCAAGUCGAACGAUGAAGCCGGAGCUUGCUCCGGUGGAUUAGUGGCGAACGGGUGAGUAACACGUGAGCAAUCUGCCCUUGACUCUGGGAUAACUGCGGGAAACUGUAGCUAAUACCGGAUACGACACCUUGGGGCAUCCCAGGGUGUGGAAAGAAUUUCGGUCAAGGAUGAGCUCGCGGCCUAUCAGCUAGUUGGUGAGGUAAUGGCUCACCAAGGCGACGACGGGUAGCCGGCCUGAGAGGGGGACCGGCCACAAUGGAACUGAGACACGGGCCAGACUCCUACGGGAGGCAGCAGUGGGGAAUAUUGCACAAUGGGCGAAAGCCUGAUGCAGCAACGCCGCGUGAGGGAUGAAGGCCUUCGGGUUGUAAACCUCUUUUAGCAGGGAAGAAGCGAAAGUGACGGUACCUGCAGAAAAAGCACCGGCUAACUACGUGCCAGCCGCCGCAGUAA